rnacentral:rRNA from 1 species
UACAGAGGGGGCAAGCGUUGUUCGGAAUUACUGGGCGUAAAGGGCGCGUAGGCGGCCUGCUAAGUCGAACGUGAAAUCCCCGGGCUCAACCCGGGAACUGCGUCCGAUACUGGCAGGCUUGAAUCCGGGAGAGGGAUGCGGAAUUCCAGGUGUAGCGGUGAAAUGCGUAGAUAUCAGGAGGAAUACCGGUGGUGUAGACGGCUCUCUGGACCGCGACUGACGCUGAGACACGAAAGCGUGGGUAGCAAACAGG